CUUUUGUCACCAUCACAACAAUUUAACAACCAAAAAGAAAAGAAAAUAAAACAUGGGGGAGAGAAAUACAAACAUAAAGGGAGGUUUAAAUAAAAAAUACAUCAUCACCUGAGUACAAACAAAGUUCUACAAUUAAAAAAUAAGAGAUGAACAUGGAUUUAUAUACACAUAAGAUACCUUCGUAAUAAAAGAUUUUUUAAAGUGAUAUUAAAAAUAAAUCCGUGAACCUUUA
rnacentral:lncRNA from 1 species